GAAUUCGGCUUCGGUAAUUCCAGCUCCAAUAGCGUAUAUUAAAAUUGUUGCGGUUAAAACGCUCGUAGUUGGACAUUUGUAGGAGACUGCCGGUCUACCCCAGUGGUUAGUACUUGGCAUGUCUUCUGCACCUUCCUGGUGGAAGUGUUCGCACUUUGAUGUGUGGGGCGUAAUCCAGAACUUUUACUUUGAGGAAAUGAGAGUGCUUCACGCAGGCAUCCGUCGUGAAUACGUUAGCAUGGAAUAACACUAUAGACCACGUUCUAAAGCUGUUGGUUUUUAGGACGAGGUAAUGAAAAGAGGGAUAGUUGGGGGCAUUCGUAUUUAACUGUCAGAGGUGAAAUUCUUGGAUCUUUAAAAGACGAACUACUGCGAAAGCAUCUGCCCAGGAUGUUUCUAUUAAUCAAGAACGAAAGUUAGGGGAUCGAAGACGAUCAGAUACCGUCCUAGUUUUAACCUUAAACCAUGCCGACUAGAGAUUGGGGUCGUCAGAAUGUAGACGACGUCAGCAGCUUGAGAGAAAUCAAAGUCUUUGGGUUCCGGGGGGAGUAUGGUCGCAAGGCUGAAACUUAAAGGAAUUGACGGAAGGGCACCACCAGGAGUGGAGCCUGCGGCUUAAUUUGACUCAACACGGGGAAACUCACCAGGUCCAGACAUAGGGAGGAUUGACAGACUGAUAGCUCUUUCUUGAUUCUAUGGGUGGUGGCGCAUGGCCGUUCUUAGUUGGUGGAGUGAUUUGUCUGGUUAAUUCCGUUAACGAACGAGACCUUAACCUGCUAAAUAGUUCUCGAAAACAUCACGUUUCCGGAGAGCUUCUUAGAGGGACUUUGUGUGUGUAACAUAAGGAAGUGCGAGGCAAUAACAGGUCUGUGAUGCCCUUAGAUGUCCUGGGCCGCACGCGCGCUACACUGAUGCGUCCAACGAGUGCCCAACCUACUCUGGAAGGAGUGGGUAACCUUUUGAAAGCGCAUCGUGAUGGGGAUAGAUUAUUGCAAUUGUUAAUCUUGAACGAGGAAUUCCUAGUAAGCGCAAGUCAUCAGCUUGUGCUGAUUACGUCCCUGCCCUUUGUACACACCGCCCGUCGCUCCUACCGAUUGAGUAAUCUGGUGAAUAAUUUGGACUGCAACGUGCCCAGAUCUGGGAUGCGCUGCGGAAAGUCUAGUAAACCCUAUCACUUAGAGGAAGGAGAAGUCGUAACAAGGUAAGCCGAAUUC
rnacentral:rRNA from 1 species